AAAAAAUUACAAACCCGUGCUGAUUUUGUUUUUCCUCAGAAGAUUUCAAAAAAAUGGAAACAAAACAGAAAAAAGAGCUUCUAAGAGGUUUUCAUUUACACAGUGGAGAAGAAGAAGAAAUGGAAAAUAAAAACUCUGGACGGAUACAGUUGAACACACUGCCUCUAACAAUCCUGGUCGUAGUGACUCAGAAUUAAAAAGAAAGGACUUAUUUUCUAUUCCAUACUGGAGCUUUGGUUGUUUACAAGCCACAUGGAUAACUGUGGGUGCAGUUUUGUUUAAUUUUUUAAAGUUUUUUGUUGUCUUAGUUUUUGUUCCCACAUGAGACGGGUGGGGUUUGCAAGUGCGCUUCUGCCAUAUGGACAAUGAGUGGUGUUGGGGGUUUUUUUCUUUGUUUUUUUUUUUAUAUAUUUUUUUUUUUUUUUUUGCUUGAGGACGAGUGGCAGGAAUCUGAACAGCAUGGACAAACUCCUCUAAGUCGGCCUUGUUUAUAUAUACAUACAUAUAUAAAAAAAGAAACCUCGAGGAUGGACUUUGUUUUCUGGAUUGCAGGGCUGAAAGAGCCUUGAGGGAACUGAGAGGCCAAAAAAUGAGUAAAAGAGGAGGACGCCUGAUUUGUGCGCUCGUCUUCACCUCAACCCUCCCACGCACUCGCACCCUGCCCUCACCGACUCACCUAUGCACUUUUGUUCAUUCAAGCUGUGAGGUACAAUUCUGGGGAUGGGAGCACAAUUUACAACAGGAGGAUUGCUACGACUUUUGAUUUAAGAAAAAGAAAAGAAAAAAAAAGUCAGCGAAAACGAUAUUCCCAAAACUAAAAACGAGAGACUUCGAGAAGCCCCGUCUUCUCCCACCUCCUGUAUAUAAGCAUAUUUUUGUAUUACCUUUCAAAGUAGAACGAGAGAGAGAGAAAAAAAAUUGCAAAUGGAUGAAGGAAAAAAAAAUUCAUGAGACGUUGGACUGAAUGUUCCUCAUGGAAAAGAAACCAAUAGUUUUCAAUAGUUUUAAUUGGACUCGCUGCGAGUUUCCCUUUAUAUGCCACUAACCUUGAAAUAAUUGGGGGAUGGAAGGGAAACGAGCGCGGACUGAGGCGUUGGAUAUGCCUCCUGGUGGCAGCUUGUCAAAGCGGAGAUUGGAGCGGCCACAAGAGUUUGAUCAACUCUCACAGUCGAGAGCCGGACGCCGUUCUGAAGAGCCGUCGCCAAGGACGCUUCCACUUGGUUUCCCCAACCUGACGACUGCCUUCAGAGCGGUGGAGCUCCUGCAGGAGGAGAGCUGCGUGGUGAUUGGCUUUGCUUUAUUUGCUGCCCUCUGUGACGAGGAUUUAAUCUGCGGCCGACCCAUGAAUCAGCUCGCCUAAACCUGCUCCUUCGAACUUUUACCCCAAGACACUUGUCUCGUCCUUGGACUGGGCAGGCCAUCGGCAUUAUCAGUCGGACAGUUCAUCACCCAUCGCGUUUGGCUCGGGGGUUUGAUCAGACGCUCUCAGACAAGGAUAAGGGCAAAAAAAAAAAAAAAAAAAGGGGAGGAGUGACGAUGGUCUCAACCCACCUCAACCUGAGACCUUGGAGAAAUGGUUCGUUGAAUAACCGGCCCCAUCCUGUCUUAAGAGGUCUCGGACAAGAAAACGCAGAAAGAUGGCGGCUGUUUGAAAUCCCUGCUGCCGUGGAACUGGAUAGACUUGUACAAAACAACAGCAACAAAAAAAGACUCUAAAACACGACUAAACACACAAACACGUCGCAGAAAAUUCUCAAGUCCAAAGGAGCGGCAAACAUAUACACUACAUGCACAUUUCCAGCGGAAGUUACACAUAAUAGGGAUCCAUAAAUAUCAACUCUCAGAGACACAAACACAUCAGCGCUCAUCAAUUCAAAUGGUGUGCUUUGUAAAUAAUGUAAAAGUUGGUUUGAAUGACUUUUUUUUUUUUUUGUUUGUUUCUCAUAGUGGGGUUUUGCUUUAUUUCUUUGUUCAACAUGCCUUAAAUUGUAUAGCUGAGUCUUGGAUGACUAACUGAAAAUGUUCUCGAUGAUAAAACUUAGUUGGAAACCAUCUUGUUAACUGUAUUCAGGUUGAACAAAGUUUUCAACAGCGCUUUUUGUUCUGUUGGCUAACAGAAUUGUUGUGUAUAGACCUCCUUACGUAUACAUCCAAUCACCUUUAAAAGUUACUAGCUAACUACAGAGUAGAGCGACGAGUCUUUAAUAUUCUAUUUUUUUUUCUUUUCUAAAUUUGCUGGUGGUUGGAUUUUUGUUGCUCUUUUGUUUUCAUGAAAACGCAGAGUGAAUUUGUUCGGAGUUGAUUCGUUUUGUUAUUUUCUAAAGGUCUGUACUCUGGGGAGCUGAGCUGACCGGGUUGCGUUUCAAUAACCGACCCCUCGCCGUGCUGCGUCAGAAUGCAGUUUGGGUAAAUUUAGUCAUCCUUAAAUUUCAGAUACGAGUUAGUGCAUUUGGACUCUUUUUACACUCCAGGAGAAUUGUACGAUUUUUAGAAGAAAAAAAAAAAAAUAUAUAUAUAUAUAUAUACUGUUGUGCAGAUGUGAGAGAAUCUCGGGCUUAUUUACUCUUAAAGGAAGCUUUAUAAUUGGACAUCCGUUGAUCAAGGUUUUCAUGACCAAUUCUGAUACCUGUGUUUUUAAGAUCUGGAAUCCUGAUUCUGUCAUCUUCUAUUUUUUGUUUAAUAAGUUUUAUAGUAAAG